ACCUGAUGAAGAACAAAUUUUAUUCCAGAACAGAGAAUUCAUUGAUUAGAAGUUUGAUAAUUCUACUUCAUAAUCUCUGUAUGUUCGUCAGUAAAUUCAAGAUGGCGUCCAAAAUGGCCGCCAAAUGUAUUUUUUGCUACAAUCUGACUCCAGUUCCUCAGUGAUGGAUCAUAUAAUAGCUCUAUGUGACCAGGUUCAUUACUUUUUAUCAUGAGUUUGUUUUUUACCUGUCCUGUCCAGCAUGGAGGCAGCAGAAUGGGAGUCUGGCUGCUGUUAUGUUCCCGACAGAUUUGCUUUUUUAAGAGGUGCUGGAUUCAAAUAUAGUUGGGUUUUGAAGUCACUUUCAAGAUAAAGUGGUGAUUCAGGACAGAAACCAAGAUGAACGCCAAACGUACUUUUCCUUGUAUUUUUGACCACAAGUGUCCCGACUGUCCAGAUUUCUGUUUUGUGGGUCACAGAAUGCUCUGGAACUAUUCCAAGUCUCUUGUUUGAGUUAAUACCAAUAUUACCAGAAUGCUUUGUAAAAUCUUCACCCUCUGCGCUGCGCUGUGAGAACAGGAGGUUCAGAAUACCUCCAUUUAACUUUGAAGGUCUUAUUUUGAAAGAGCCAUUUCACCCCCGGAAAUAAUUUGUUGACCAAAAAUGAGUCACUGUAUAGAUUGUUAGAAUAUUCUGCAGAGGAAGCUGUUUGGGGGAAAAGACUUGAAAUGCAUUGACUGCUUGAAGUGAACAGAACACAGUGACGUUAUUGAUGAUAUGAAGGUUCACAGACGUUCCAGACAGAUGAAGAUGUUCCUCUCUCAGCAGCUCUGGUCCCUGUUUCAGCGUUCUCAGCAGGACUGACUGUGAGUCCCAGCAGAUCUCAGUUCCUUCAAGGAGACUCAGUGUCUCUGAGCUGUGAGGAGGACGGAUGGACAGUUUGGAGGAAGACCAGCAGAGAACAGAGGAGUUCAUGUGGAGACUGGGGGGAAGAAGCUGCUGGUUCCUCCUGUAGAAUCAGUCACAUGUUCAGCUGGGACAGUGGAGUUUACUGGUGUGAGUCCAGAGAGGGAGCAGCUGGAAGCAGCGUCAACAUCACUGUAGCUGAUACAGUGGUCCUCCAGAGUCCAGUCCUCCCUGUGAUGGAGGGACAGGACGUCACUCUGGGUUGUAGAACCAGCGCUCCCUCCACCCUCUCAGCUGAGUUCUUUAAAGACGGCGUCUCCAUCGGGACCGAGUCCACAGGUCACAUGACCCUCCGCCAUGUUUCCCGCUCUGCUGAAGGCCUCUACAGGUGUAGCUUCAGAGGUGUUGGAGAGUCUCCACCCAGCUGGAUCUCUGUCUCAGGGAACCACAAGACAGAUCCUCCUCCUGGUUCCUCCUCUGAUCCUCCUCCUGGUUCCUCC